rnacentral:rRNA from 1 species
GACGAACGCUGGCGGCGUGCCUAAUACAUGCAAGUAGAACGCUGAAGGAGGAGCUUGCUUCUCUGGAUGAGUUGCGAACGGGUGAGUAACGCGUAGGUAACCUGCCUGGUAGCGGGGGAUAACUAUUGGAAACGAUAGCUAAUACCGCAUAAUAGCAGUUGUUGCAUGACAACUGUUUGAAAGGUGCAAUUGCACCACUACCAGAUGGACCUGCGUUGUAUUAGCUAGUUGGUGGGGUAACGGCUCACCAAGGCGACGAUACAUAGCCGACCUGAGAGGGUGAUCGGCCACACUGGGACUGAGACACGGCCCAGACUCCUACGGGAGGCAGCAGUAGGGAAUCUUCGGCAAUGGACGGAAGUCUGACCGAGCAACGCCGCGUGAGGGAAGAAGGUUGUCGGAUCGUAAAGCUCUGUUGUAAGAGAAGAACGAGUGUGAGAGUGGAAAGUUCACACUGUGACGGUAUCUUACCAGAAAGGGACGGCUAACUACGUG